rnacentral:rRNA from 1 species
GACGAACGCUGGCGGCGUGCCUAAUACAUGCAAGUAGAACGCUGAAGAGAGGAGCUUGCUCUUCUUGGAUGAGUUGCGAACGGGUGAGUAACGCGUAGGUAACCUGCCUUGUAGCGGGGGAUAACUAUUGGAAACGAUAGCUAAUACCGCAUAACAAUGGAUGACACAUGUCAUUUAUUUGAAAGGGGCAAUUGCUCCACUACAAGAUGGACCUGCGUUGUAUUAGCUAGUAGGUGAGGUAAUGGCUCACCUAGGCGACGAUACAUAGCCGACCUGAGAGGGUGGUCGGCCACACUGGGACGGAGACACGGCCCAGACUCCUACGGGAGGCAGCAGUAGGGAAUCUUCGGCAAUGGGGGCAACCCUGACCGAGCAACGCCGCGUGAGUGAAGAAGGUUUUCGGAUCGUAAAGCUCUGUUGUAAGUCAAGAACGGGUGUGAGAGUGGAAAGUUCACACUGUGACGGUAGCUUACCAGAAAGGGACGGCUAACUACGUG